UCUGCUUUCCGAAGCAGACUUUUUCGUUGACGAAAAAGAUCUCCAAACCUUUGUCAGCGCGACUUUCCGGUCGCGCUUUUUUUUG
rfam:Burkholderia ginsengiterrae strain DCY85 NODE_3, whole genome shotgun sequence.